UCUCAUUUACCAAAUCUUUCCCAACAAACAAAAUCCUUUUGACAAACCUUCUCCGAUUUAUUCUCUCCACUUAUUCUCUCCAUUAUCCCAUCACUGAAACUUCUCAUUCAAUUUGAAUUUAGAAGAAAAUUAAUUUCAUAAUGUUCAAAAUUAGGUUUUGGCAAAAUAUUUGUCUACUAAAAAACUUUCAAUUUCUAAAUAAAAAAAAUUGACGGCAAAAGAACCAUAAAGUUCUUAAUCGGGAAGAAGAUGAUGAUAGCGGUUUCGAAGAUUUGAAUAUCAUUGAUAAUCGAAAGGAUAUGGCUGUUGUUGAUAUGGUUAUUGCUGUCAAGAAAAAUGAAGGACCUCUUGUCGCCAUGAUUAAAAAAUCGGAAUCGGGGAUCAGAUCCGCGACGCAACAAUAAUUUUUGAUUUUUUUUUUCUGUCAAACUGAUGAAAAAAACGAUGAACGAAGGCGGUUUGAGUUGAACAAAGAAAACAGUCGUUGGAGUGGGACAAAGAUAGGCGAACGAUGAACGAAAGCGAACGAUGAAUGAAGGCGAGGUGGCUGGCAGCUGUUGUCUUUUUUAUUGUAAUUGGGAUA